ACGGGAGGCAGCAGUGAGGAAUAUUGGUCAAUGGGCGGAAGCCUGAACCAGCCAAGUCGCGUGAGGGAAGACGGCCCUACGGGUUGUAAACCUCUUCUGCGCGGGGGUAAAGUCGGGGAUGCGUCCCCGAUUGCAAGUACCGCGCGAAAAAGGAUCGGCUAACUCCGUGCCAGCAGCCGCGGUAAUACGGAGGAUCCGAGCGUUAUCCGGAUUUAUUGGGUUUAAAGGGAGCGUAGGCGGAAGGUCAAGUCAGCUGUGAAAUGUAGUCGCUCAACGUCUGCACUGCAGUUGAAACUGGCCUCCUUGAGUGCGUAAGAGGCAGGUGGAAUUCGUCGUGUAGCGGUGAAAUGCUUAGAUAUGACGAAGAACUCCGAUUGCGAAGGCAGCUUGCUGGGCCGCAACUGACGCUGAAGCUCGAAGGUGCGGGUAUCAAACAGGAUUAGAUACCCUGGUA
rnacentral:rRNA from 1 species